UUCAUUCUUGGAUCAUUGUGUGAGGUGGAACAAGCACAUAUACUAACUUUAAUAUCAAAAUGCUUUCCUUGGUCAAAUUCCUUUUUGUUAUCGUCACGCUCUUGGUUAUAACACAGGAUGUUACCAGUCACUGGUUUGGCGGAUGGCAUGGUGGUUGGGGCCGACACUUCGGACCCCCCCCUGUCGUAGUCGGCGGAGGCUUCGGCUUCGCAAGAUUUGGAGGCUAUGCACCACCUCCCCCCUUCUUCUACCACCCGCCACCACCUUUCUUCGGAUAAUUUGGGACAACGCACGGAUUUUGGAAAACGAACCUAACAACCUGGACACUAUUAUGUUAGUUUAAAUUAAAUAUUUAUUGAUAAUUUU